rnacentral:misc_RNA from 1 species
GUGAAUCAUCGAAUCUUUGAACGCAAAUUGCACUCUCCUCGGAGAGUAUGCCUGUUUGAGGGUCAGCCUAUAAAAAUCGACAUAGUUGCUGUUUCGCGGUGGCGUUCGUCGGAAAUUGGGUCAUCUUAAAUCCUUUUGAUUUAAGCGACUUAAAAUUUUCUUUUGGUUCUAUGAACGUUUCUAAGAUAUAUUUCUUUACGCGUUUAAGGUAUCGAUUUUUACUAGAGGGUACCAUCAUAUGGGAUCGUGUCCAUAAUCUUUGAUUAAUUGUACUGAGACAGGUAAGAGUACCAGCUGAA